UACGAGGGGGGCGAGCGUUGUUCGGAAUUAUUGGGCGUAAAGGGUGCGUAGGCGGUUUGUCGCGUCUGCUGUGAAAAUCCGGGGCUCAACCCCGGACUUGCAGUGGGUACGGGCAGACUGGAGUGUGGUAGGGGAGACUGGAAUUCCUGGUGUAGCGGUGGAAUGCGCAGAUAUCAGGAGGAACACCGAUGGCGAAGGCAGGUCUCUGGGCCACUACUGACGCUGAGAAGCGAAAGCAUGGGGAGCGAACAGG
rnacentral:rRNA from 1 species